rnacentral:pre_miRNA from 12 species
GUCCAAAGAAGCACCUAUAAUCUGUUAAUGAAGAGAGCUAUCCGUCGACAGUAUUGACACUAAACACUGUCAUGGAGUUGCUCUCUUUAUGAACGGAUGCUGGGUCUACUUACUAUGCU